CUCCAACUGACGAGUCCCAAAUAGGAUGAAAUGCGCAUCCUUGAU
rnacentral:hammerhead_ribozyme from 1 species